rnacentral:rRNA from 1 species
GAUGAACGCUGGCGGCGUGCUUAACACAUGCAAGUCGAACGGUGAAGGCGGAGCUUGCUCUGCUGGAUCAGUGGCGAACGGGUGAGUAACACUUGAGCAAUCUGCCCCUGACUCUGGGAUAAGCGCUGGAACCGGCGUCUAAUACUGGAUACGAGCUGCGAAGGCAUCUUCAGCAGCUGGAAAGAACUUCGGUCAGGGAUGAGCUCGCGGCCUAUCAGCUUGUUGGUGAGGUAACGGCUCACCAAGGCGUCGACGGGUAGCCGGCCUGAGAGGGUGACCGGCCACACUGGGACUGAGACACGGCCCAGACUCCUACGGGAGGCAGCAGUGGGGAAUAUUGCACAAUGGGCGAAAGCCUGAUGCAGCAACGCCGCGUGAGGGACGACGGCCUUCGGGUUGUAAACCUCUUUUAGCAGGGAAGAAGCGAAAGUGACGGUACCUGCAGAAAAAGCGCCAGCUAACUACGUG